UACGAAGGGUGCAAACGUUGCUCGGAAUUAUUGGGCGUAAAGCGCACGUAGGCGGCUCUGUAAGUUGGAUGUGAAAUCCCUCGGCUCAACCAAGGAAGUGCAUCCAAAACUACAGAGCUUGAGUACUUAAGAGGAUCGCGGAAUUCCCGGUGUAGAGGUGAAAUUCGUAGAUAUCGGGAGGAACACCAGUGGCGAAGGCGACUUCCUGGCCUGUUCUUGACGCUGAGGCGCGAAAGCUAGGGUAGCAAACAGG
rnacentral:rRNA from 1 species